GUUUAGAUUGUUGUAUUCAUACACUUUAUUAUUAAAUUAAAUUUUCAGAUUUUAAUCUUAACUUUAAAUAGCUUUAAGUCAUGGUUUUAUGAUGGGUUUUCAAGUUCUCAACAUACUAACGUACUAUAUGAUAAUUGUUUCAAGUGAAAAUGUUUGCGAGAUUGUUUUACAUGCUUAAAACGAAUUUUCAGAUUUAUUACAUCACUUUAAAGUUGCUGAAAUUUUUGCUAUAAGCCAUAUUUUUGUGAUUUAAGCAUAUAAACUCAUAGUUCAAGUACUAAAUUAUUGACUUUGGCUAUUGGGAAUAAUUUAAGAACAUUAUUUCAAUGAUUUAAAGGAUUUUAAAAUAGUUUAGUAUUGUUGUAAUAUAUGUUGCUUGGGUAUUAAUUGAGCUAUUGUUGUUCUGUCUAGGAGAGGAUUUCGUAGAGGGUGACUUCUAGCCUUAAAGUGGCCAAUCAAUUUGUGUACUCAAGAUUAACCACAGGUUUUUGCAUAAACUGAUUUGCAUAAACUGAUUUGCAUCAGGGUGAUGGGAUUUGAGUGGAGCGUUGGUUAUUCACUUAGCUUAUUUUAUAUCAUAAAUCGAAUUUUAUUUUGGUUCUAAUUCCAUUUACUUUCUAUUUUACUGGGUUUGAAUAAGAGCCGUUAUGGUUCCAACUUGUAAGUCUAAAUUUGGUUUUGAUUAUUAGUUUUGAAACUUACAUUUUCUUUUAAAACUAAAUUAGUUUUCCGCUGCUGACUUCUGAAACUAGCCUUAACGUUUUAACACGUGGCUGUAGCACACCAGUAAUUCUCUCGCAGGUUAUUAAAAGUAUUUACAGGUUACUACAAGUUAUUACAGGUUAAAACAGGUUUUGAAGAGAGAAUUAUUGGGGUGUUACAAAGUGUGGUGUUACAUACAAGGACAUUUAUACACUAAUGCUUGCCAAAUUAGCAGCCUAUAAUCACUCCUAAAUUAGGGAAUGAUUUGAUACAAUAAACUAAUUAUAGAAGGUAAAAAUUCUAAUUACAAAAAAUAUUCACAGAAUAUUCUAACAGUCUAGACCAUUAUUUUUCCCUACUAUAAACACAUCUAAGGUUUGCAGAUUUGUCAAUUCCCCAAACUUGGGCGGCAGAUCAAUGAGUUUCUCCCCAGCACCUCAAACGACGCAUUUCAUGAAAAUUUGCUGGUAAUUCUCGGAUGCUAGAGUACCGAAGGUCCAAAGUCUGCAAGAACUGCAAGUUUAUAAUGCACUCAGGAAUAGAUUUAAAGAGACCAAGUCUGAGGAACCUCAAGUGUUUAAGACAACUUGUACAGUUUACGAUUGACAGAUCCAAGACCUGCAAGGCCCUCUAGUCUCCUAAAAUUUCACCGACUUCUGGAAUAUUUAUAAGCUCGGAUGAUUUGGUUUGGAGAAAAAGAAGAGUCUUCAAUUUCCGUCGAGAAAAAAGCAACCAUGAUGGAGCUUAGCAUGUCCAAAAAUUUCCUUUCUCGCACCAUCUACCAAACCAUACUCAUAUCCUACCAAAAAUGUUUCUUAAAACACUUAUUGAAUGUUUCUCUUGAUCCCCAAGAAUCCCAUGGUACUUCAUCAGCUAAACCUUGAACUUCCCAAAGCAAAUUCAAUUCUACUCUAUCAAAUCUGUAAUCAAGGGGAAAUAAUGAAGAGUAGUUCAAUAGCUGUUGUUCAGGUUUAGAGAGUUGUUGCAUCAAGUCCACUGCUAAUAGAAUACAGCUUACUGGAUAUUCGACGCUUGUGAGUAGAUUAUCAUUGAAAUACUGCCAUUUCUGGAGUGAAAUUUCACAAGAAAGGAUUGAAGCUAUGAGAGUUAUGACACGGCGAUUAUUGGCACACUUGUUAAAUGAACAAAACUUAAUGAGCAAAUAACUCCAGGUGUACGGUCGUGGAGUAGUACCACUACUUUCUUUGUUAUAGAUCCAAACUAAUUAGAAGUUGGGCCUUCCAGCCCAAUCAUUUAAGUAGGUUGUUUUUAUCAUUGAUUGGGCUGGCUCAACUUAGGCCCAUAGUACUCAUUAAGGACAUGAAAAGUAAUUACAUUGGUAAGUACUGCAACUUUGUCAUAAUCAUGGUUAGAAAAUAAAAAAUUUGGUCCAAACUCCAAGCGUUUGAUUAAUUCACCAAAAAAAAAAUGCUCUGAAUUAAAACCAAAAUUAAUUAAAAAGUACUCGUUUUUAAUUAAAUAUACAUAUAUUAUACGUGGGCCAAUGCAGCAUUAAAACGUUAAUUAUUAAUGCCUACACCCCCUAACCACCAAUUUACCUCCCUCCUAAUUAAAGUCUCCCCAAAAAAAAAUACAGAUUAUAUAUAUCGUCAUUGUUAUUUUCUAAAAAUCUUCAAUUUAUGAUUUCUCUAUCCAAAAACCAUCAUCCUUUAUUUUCUCUCUCCAAAAAAUUUCUUAUAUCCAUUUUCUCUUUCCAAAAACUUUCAUCCUUACUUUUCUCUCUCUAAAAACCUUCAUAUUUUCCAUCAUAGAAGCUUAAUCAUCAUCUAUUCAUGUCACUUCUUAUGGAAGCUUCAUUGUUGACACAAAUCUUUGAUGAGUCAAGUAAGGAAGUUGAAGGCGACAAAUAUAUUGUGCUUGUUUAGGGGAUUUUUCCCGCCACGUGGGCCAAUCAUCACCUGCCACGUGUCAGCCACGUGGACCAAUCAGGGACUGCCACGUGUCAUACUCCUGGAGGUCCAGCAUGGACCAAUUGCGCCACGCCACGUGGCUCACUAUCUGCCAACCUGGAAAACGACCAACAUGGCCCGAAUCCCGAGGCAAGCCCAAUCAGUCCUAGGUUUACCAUUUAACCUAGUAUUGGGCGCGUACUUUGAGGCUAUAAAUACAGUAAUUAGCCUUCAUUAAACACAUUCAAAAUUAAUUACUCUCACCAAGAGAAGCCUAAACACACGUGCAUACUAAUCGCUAGACCAGACUUAGCAUUAUUUGCACUCUCCGAUCACUCCUCCCUUCCGAGGAACCAGAUCACCCUCUUUACUUUUCGCACCUUUUACUCCACACACAAGUACUAACUUGAUCGUCGGAGGCGGAGCUCCCACCACCCGGAGUCUCUGUUGUUUUGCAGGUACAGGCGCACGGAUUCAGUCCCGGAAUUGUAACUCUCUCGCAGGACAUCAAAAAACCCCGAAACAGUGCUCAUCGGAUUAUCUUUUUCAUGAAAAACACACAAAUAUCAUAUGAUUAGAGGUGCAAUAAGGAGGAUAUAUCUACAUAGACACUUUAUUUGUACCAAAUGUAACAAUAAAUAAUGUUCAUUUAACAAGACACGUAUGUACAUUUAGGAUUUAAUUGAUCACUUUAAUGUUUAUGAAACAAUUAUAUGAAAUAGAAUAUA